UUAUCACUGUCUUGUGUUUGGUGUGUCUGGGUGGUGGCCGUUUUCGUUGUUUUUUUCUGUCUCGAACCU
rnacentral:misc_RNA from 1 species